rnacentral:misc_RNA from 1 species
GAAAUUUCUUAAUUUUCGUCUUUCCCAGUAGAAUUCCCAGCCUCGAAGAAUUGAAAAGGAUCUAUUUGACGUCAUUCUCAACCCUACUCCAUUGAACUCGACUCGGAAAUCUCAAUCUACAAACUCUAAAGUCACAGCGAGAGGGGAGAAUCUCAAUACAGAGGCAAUGGAUGAGAAGCAGCAACUGGCGGAAGAGGAGGAUCGGAGCAGUGAGAGCGGGGACUAUACGUCGGAGGACGAAGGAACUGAGGAUUAUCGGCGC